rnacentral:lncRNA from 1 species
CACCUACCCUCCAGCUGUUUCUCAUGUCUAGACACCGGUCACAUGGAGUGGCUGCCCAGGUCACUGUGAGAGAAACCAAAUGGGGAAAUUCACAGGCCCAUUCCAAGCCCUGACUCCCCCGCCCCCUGGUUACCCAGCCUCACUUCCGUUUCCCAAACAAGGCAGGCUUUGCAAGAUGCUACCUUGAUUUUCCACUCUUUCAACAAGAGGCGACUUUAAAAGACAGCCGAAGAGCUUAACCUGGGUGAGGCCCACGGCGUGGAAACAUCCGAUGAGCCCAUGACACACAUGUGCAAGGUGAGCACCACACGUGUGCGAUGGGAAGUGGUUUUUCAGAUCUCCUCAGGAGCUGCCUCCUCGACAGCUUUGUUCUUCAUAAGGUAUUAACCUGCUUUUACUCCUCAGCUUCAGUUCUCUAGCCUGAGACCUGCUAACCCAAAUUGCUCUUUGUCUUCCAAUAUUAGAAGAGAUGACACUGUGAUUAUGUGCCAGUACCAUGACAUACUAAAUGGGGAUCAUCAUAUUCUCAGAGGAGGGUGGCAGGUUAUUGUCUCAUUCUGGCACAUCUGACAAGCGAGAGCUAAUGCUGGUGGUAAAGUGUGGAGGGAAGCCAGGACACACCACCUGCCUCCCAAGGCCUGGCAGCUCGGUGCUCUCUGUGCCUGGGCACGAGCUAAGGCCCACAGGCCUUUGUUUAUGAAAUUACAUUACCUUGCUGCUGUACUGAAAAGACUCUGCUUUCCACAAUCUGGAAGCAUAGCCCUCGAGGUGUGAACUGCUAAGGCUCUUUUAUUGACUCACAUACAUACACUUCUAGAAACUUUUUAGUAAUACUAAUUAGUAUUUAUUUCAGGUAUUUAUUUUCUGUUUUUUAUUUCUUUUCACAUAUUAGAUAUCAAUCAGGGAUUAUUUCAUGAACAAUUUUAUUUCCUCUGCAUAACACUUCUAUAUUGGUAGAGUGUUUUUAGAUAAGAAAACAGGAAUACAGAAUGUUUUUUACUUACUGUUAUUCCUAUUUGUACGAGAGUUAGAAUUUAUCAAUGUUUGUGGUCAUUGUGAAAACUAAGAACAACAACAAGAUGUCUUUAAGGAAUUCACAAGCUCUUGAGUGAUAUACCCAGAUAGGUAGAUAAAUAAAUAGAUAAAAGGACUUUUAUAGGACUUUUAAAUUUAGCUUUUCAUAACAAAAAAUACAAAAGUAUAGCAGUGUAGCCUCACAUUAAAUACACACACGUAUAUACAUGUAGUGAAAUGAUCUUUUUAAAAGUGUGUAAGCAAGCUCAAAAGAGAGAUAAAUCUCCACAUAUCCAAAAUUAAGACUGAAUUCAAGUUGGUCAUGAACUGAGAUUGCAGCAAUAAGGCAUGGAGCUGGGUGUGGGGGCCAGCUCUCUUGAUGGCUGAGGUUUGAAUGACCUUUUGGGAUCCGGGAGGUCAACUCUUGAGCCCGAGCACAGUGCAGAGGUGGAACUUAUGGGAUCCUACAGAGAUACUACUUAUAUGAAAAGGGUGAUGAAGAAAGUCCAAAUACUGAUAUAAAAACUUGUCCUCUCCCCAGACUCCUGAAAGGAUGGGAAAUGUCUCCUGAGAAAUCGAAACUCAAGGUGAUACUACUUCAGGUGAUGGGUCUGGAUUGAAUCUCAAGCAGAAUUAUUGAUAUAAAAAGUAGUUCUAGAUAUAAAAAACAAGUAGUUAUCACCAAGAAAAAAAAUAAAAUGUUUCUAAUUCAGCCUGACUGAUCCCAACAGCGACAGAAACAAUCUCCACUAAAGAUGAGCUCACAAUCACAAAUUACAAACCAGUGUGCCGUGAAGACAAGCCAGCGGCCACCACUUAGGGGGAUGGUGUCCCAAGAACUCAAUGUAACAGAACAAUACGAGAAGGGUUUUUAAAAAAAUAUUCAAAUUUAUUAAAGAGAAAUGAAAAGGAAUUAUAACCCAAAGCUCUGGAGCUUUUUAUAAAAACAAAGAUUAACCAAGAGAAUUUCUCAAGAGUGAAAAAUAAGUAACUGUGAAAGGGAAAAAGUUCCCAAUAAAUUAGAUGAAGAAAGAAUUUGUGAACAUAGAUCUGGAGGAAUUGUACAGAAUGUGGUUCAAUAAAAUGAAGACCCAGAAAAUACAAAAGAAAGGUUAAAAGGUAUGCAGGAUAGAGAAAAUUAUAUAUAUAUACACACAUAUAUAUACAUAUAUACAAAUAUAUAUACAUAUAUGUAUAUAUAUAUAUAAAGUUAUCCAGAGAAGAGAUCAGAGAGAAUGGGAGGAAAGCAACAUUUUAAAAAAAUCAUGGCUCAGAGGUGAGGCUGUAGGUCAGUGGUAGAGCUCCUGCUUCUCAUGUGUGAGGCACUGGGUUCGAUCCUCAGCACCACAUAAAAAUAAAUAAAGAUAUUAUAUCCAUCUACAACUAAAAAAAAAUGUUUAAAGAAAAGAUCAUAGCUUAGAAGUUCCCCAAGUAGAAGAAAUAUAUAAUUUUUCAGAAUAAAUAGCGCACACUGAAUUCUAUAGAUAAUAAAACAAAUAAACCAACACAACUUCAAUUUGACACAUAAUGAAGAAAUAAAUACAGAACACAAAACACAAAGAAAUGAUUGUAGGUGCAGGCAGCGGAGGAGACAUCACCUACCAUGACCCGGCAAUGGAUGGACGCUGGCAGCGGAGUCUGGAAAUUAGUGAGAUGAUAUUUGCAAAAUGCUGAAAGAUGAACCAGAAGAAUGCAAGAGGAACGAGGCACAGAUAAACAAGGAAGCACACACAGGAAUCUAAAUCAGGCCUGCUACAGAAAGAAUCAAGAUGAUGACGAAGGUGUUACAGCCAGGUGGAAUCCAAAGGCUCGGAGACAGGUGACCAGGUGUGAGAGCCUGCUGACAUGGUGUCCUUUGCGGGGAUCCGUAAUGUUGGCCCCUGAAGCCUAAGUGAGUCUAAAGAACAGAACAUAGACAUUGCAGCUGCUGAAUCAGGAAAGGAGCGUGAAUCAAGGAACCUGGUCAACUUGAAAGAAGAUGGGGAAAGAGGGAGAAAAUCGAAAGAAAGCAAGUUAGAACACUCACGAUAAUAAGUGGAAAACCAAGCCCAGAGUGAGACUCAUUUUAACCUGAAGAAUUAGCACCUGGUAAAUUAUCAGGAAUGAAAGGAAGAGUCAAUAAACAGCACUAGAACACCCGGCCAUUUGAACUCAACAAUUAAGUAGAUAAAUAGAGUCUUUAUCUCACAUGAUCCACACCAGUUCCAGGUGAGUGGAGAAACUAGAAGUGAAGAGCAAAAAUCUAAAACCUGUAGAUUAAAAAUAUAAAAGGUUAUUUUCACUACCUUGGGAUAGAAAAGCUAGGAAAGCAGCUUCUCAAUAAGGUAUAAAAAAAUUCCAAACUGCAAAGGGAAACAGUGCUGCCUUUAAAUACCUUGAAAUUCAUACAUCUGCAUGGAGAAUCCAGCAACAGGAAAGUGGACUGACACAGACUGGGAGGGAUUAUUAACAAGAAGCAAGAGAGUAAAAGCUGGUGUGUGAAAUAUACGGGGGUUGGGGGAGGCGAUGACCUAAGUAUGGCAUAGUCGAAUUAUUUAAAUGGACACUUUUUUGAAAAAAAGGAUAGGAAUGGCUCAUGAACAAUAAGAUUCCAUUUCAUGUCUUUCAAUAUUAACAUUAAUUAAACAAAACAAAACAACACAAAAAACAAGUGUUAGGGAGAAAGUGGCGAAAUGGCAGCCUUCAUUUGCUGUUGGUAGAAGUUUAGACAGAAACCCAGUUUGUGCAGCAAUUGUGCAGUGAUCAUAAAUCUGAAGAGGGUCACAAGAUGCCAAUGCAUGACCCCUCUCAGGCAGACCUUCUGCUUUAGGAAAGUUGAUCUGGGUCUAGAGGUGGGGGCCAUGGCUCCAUACUGGACAUCCAUUCUUCUGCUCACAGACAGCUACAGGUCUUGCAGGAGUCUAAUUAGAAACCAGGACUUCUAUUUUUUUAAAAAAUAUUUGUAGUUGUAGAUAGAGUACCUUUAUUUUGUAUAUUUAUUUUUAUGUGGUGCUGAGGAUGGAACCCAGUGCCUCACAGGUGCUAGGUGAGUGCUCUGCCCCUGAGCCCCAGCCCAGUCCCCAGAACUUCUAUUUGAUACACUCCUUCUUGCUGUAUAAAAUAGGAAGUUUGGGUCCUCAGCAGCCAAGGACAGUCGUUUUGGGACCAGGAGAGAAAGAGCUUUUCAAUAAUCGAUUUGAUGUUCAGCAAUUAAAAAGCUUAGAAAUGGAAAAAGAAUGAUUCUUGAUCCUCUCAUGACACUAGAUGGAAGCUUUUCCUAAAAUCAGUUAUCCCUGGACUUAUCAGUGAUAUAAAUCAAAAACAAACAAAAACGAAUAUAAAAACAAAAUCCCCUCCCUGGUGUUAUUUAAAUCACUGAGCUUUUUUUUCUUUUCUUUUCUUUUCUGUAACUGGACUCAAUAACAUCCUGAGAAGAGCAGGAUUUAACAAGGGACAGGGGACCACGUGGAUGUCAUUUGUACACACGUUGUGCUUUGUUUUGGUGUGCUCCUCCGUGCUAUCCUAUGCUUCUCAAACGUACCUAUUUCCACACUUGCUACUUCUUUCUUUUGGGGUGACACAUCUAUUGGUUGCCAUGGGGCCCAUGGAGCCCAGCCCAGAGCCACGCACAGGGUAGGUGGUGGAUGUUGAGGGGAAGGCAUGGCUGACCACAACCAACACUUGGCAGGAUCCACACCAAAGCAGAACUACUCGAGAUUCAUGGUCCACCCUUCAAGAGGCAGACUCCGGGAGAUGGCCAUGUAAAUUAACAGAAGAGGAGCCAUGGCUUAGCAAUAGCAUAGGAAACGUGAGUGAGAAUUCUUUUGCACUCUUACUUGUUCAAUAGGAAGUGGAUAUUUGAACUUCUAUGUAUGUGACUCACUGUCUAUAGGCUAGGUACUAUACUAAAGACUGAUGGAGCGUUCAGUUCUCUCAACAUCUCUUCAGGUAUUUUGAUAGAUCCAUGCUCAUUUUAUUAAAUAGUCAUAGUUCCACGAAUGAAUAUAUCCAAAGUCGAUGUUCUUUGUAUUCUUUUUACCCAUCAUGUUACUUCCCGUGAGCCUUGGCUGAGAGCCUUUCAUGAGUCACCAAAGCUGAUAGCAAUGGCUGGAGUGACGAGAAGAGUCCUGGCAGAUGGUGUCCCAUUGAUAUGGAACAAUUUUUCAUAGUUUGAUGUGCAGGAUACUUUACAGUCCCACUUGAUACUCCUCCAAAAUUUUAAUCAUGUGGAGAAUGAUAAAUACCACCCAGGUGGACGCAAGGAGUCUCCUGACUUGACAAAACAAAAAGCAAAACGUUCUGGAAGAUGAUAUGAAUGGACAAGAUGAAGGCAGAAACACGAAGGAAAAUGUAAGAGAGUCAAUGAUAGGUCCAGUCAGUUUAACUCCCCGGGAAGGCACAGGGGCGGAGCUAGUGACAGCCCGGGAAGAAGCUGUUUCUACCACCAGCUCCUUGAGAACCUAUCCGCAGGCUUGGCAACCGGAACGAGGAAGGGACAAAUGCAGUCCAGAGACUUGGAAGGAAUGCUCCAGUGACCAGCAUGGCCACAGGCAACGGAGUUAAGGACGGGGAAUGUGGGUGGUGGAGCCGGAAAGCUGAAUUCUUACCCUAUCUCCAAUCUGUAAAAUGGGGCCGAUCAUGGGACUUGCAUCACAGGGUAGCAUGCAACAAGCAGCGCCUGGAACAGAGUCCAUGUCUGAUAAAUGUCAACCACUGUUGUUGUUGUUCAGGGGUCUCCCCAAGAGGAUACAUCCGCGAGGGUGCAGCAAUUUCAUCACAAGUGAUUAGGGAAGGAAUGUUAAAAACAGGAAGAACUUGGGAGAUGGCAGGCUUCGGGCGAGGAGGACCUGCUUGCUUUGGGGUAUGAUGAGUUUAGCGUAAGUUGAUCCUACUGUGCGCUGAGCUCUGUGCCAGACUCGGGAUGCUUGAAGGGAACUUGGAGCAUGUGGCUUUCAGAGUCCUCUAGCUCAGAAACAAUGGGACUGAAGGGCCGACAGCACUGGCUUUGAAGACACACUGUUUGCUUUGGGGCCCCUGUUUUACUAUUUAAUUGCAAUCAAUUUUUGUCUCCAAUCUUCUACAUUGUAAAAAACAGUGGUAGUAUUGGUGGUAAAACCAACCAGUUGGGUUCUUAAGAGAUUCAAAGACAAAAAUUUUAAAGUACCUAUCAUGAUAUCUGGCACGUGUUAAACUAUUUGUAGGAGUGACAGUCAGAGUGGUGUGGAUAUAAGUAAGUCACCACAGCAAUAAUAUCAACAACUGAGUUACUGCCUGUGGCCAGGUGAGAGGCUCAGGUUACAGAGCAAAUGUCAGGGAGUUAGCAUGGAACCCGGUUAACCAUGCAACUGUGAUCUUAGUCCAUGGGGAGAGGCGUCGAUGGCAGAGGACUGUGAUGCAGAGGAGGUGGAAAAGGAGCCAGCCAUGAGAGAGAACUGGCCAACAGACAGAUGGACACAGACAGUGCCUGCGAACAGACGGAAGAGGAACUCAACAGCGUCUGCUGUUACUGAGAAGCCAAAGAAACGGAGACCCAAGGAAAGAUCUGGUCUAAGAGCAGUUGGGGGCCUUCUGUUAGGAACAGAGAUGAGAUGACAACCAGCGUGAGCUGGCAAUGAGUUGAAAGGAAAGUUAAAUGAAUUGGGAACCAAAUGUGGCACUCAGGCAGGAGAAUGACCAGAGCAAGAGGCGGUGUGGCUGUACCUGUGCAUUCAGACCUGCUUGGCACAACGUGGUAGCUGUGCCACUAGUUCUGUGACCACGAAAAGUGCUACCUGUCCAUUUUCUGCAUUAUGCUACACUCUCAGCCUCCCUUGCAGUUAGGAGUGGCCCUGAGACUGAACCAUAGUCAAGGGGAUGUGAGCUGAGAGAGGUGUAGCCCCUUCUGGCCUGGCCCAUAAAUUCCCAUGGACCAUUGUCCUCCUGCUCCUUCUCUAUCCCCAGCUGAAUGGAGGGCUCUGCGGACACAAAAGAGCGUGGCUCCACUGGCAAAGAAUGUCUGGGUCCUUUGAUGACUACCCAAGCUCCUCCCCCAACUGUCCUCAGACGAGGACUUGAGUGGUAAGUAAACUUUUAUUGUAUGAGGCCACUGAUAUUUUUAAGUUCUUUGGCACGAUGGUUAAUCUACCUUCAACUAAGAUGGCAGACGACUACUCAGAAGUUCUGCUUCUUCAUAUGUGAAACAGGACUGGUAACAGCUGCCCACCUGAGAGUUGCUCUUCCCAAUUUUUCCUUGUCAAUGGACCCCUAACCAUGGCAGGUCAACUGGCAUUUUUCUGCACUAAGGGAGUCCAGGUCCCUCCUCUGCCCCAGCCACGGAACACUGUGCACGCACAUGUAUGUGUGUGCUUUUGUGUGUGUGUGUGUGUGUGUGUGUUCACACACUCACCAAUUCAAGCCAGUAGUGGCAAUUUUCCCCUUGGCCUGUGAAUGGCUCAAAAUUGGGCAUGGGGUCAAUAAGACAUGAGGGAAGUCCUCUACGGGGCUUCUGGAAAACUUUCCUUAUAAUGAAAAAGGAAGUCAAAAAGGGAAAUUUGUUUCCAUUUUCUAAUUUUUCACAUUGUUGUAUGAAGAUACACCUGCAAGCACCUUUGCCUUUAAAGGCCAAGGCUGAUGGCAGACCCCAGGCUGCAGCCAAUCCUGGGCACAGCCUACCACCAGGAAGUCUACACUGUCCUUAGUAGGUGCCUGGAUUACCUAUAUCAAAAGUAUCCAAACCAGUUUGGCCUUAAUCAGUCAAGACGUAUGAACGGAAUGUCAUAUGGGUGAUCAAGAAGGGUCAUCAUUAUGACCAUGACGAUUAUCAUCUAAAUAUACACCUGCUGUCCCCAGCCCUAUAUGUCAGACCUCCUCAUUCCUGAUAAGUCUCUUUCUAGCCUCCGAUUCACUAUAUUUCAAGGGUUGGGUGAGAAAGGCACCCAGAGAAGUUUGCCUCUUUUGGAAACUGAGGCUUCAGAGGAGAUUUGAUUAUCGAUGGCAUCGGGGUGUGUCUUUUGGAGGAUGAGAUAUUUGUAGGGUAAAGUGAGACCUUGGGAGAACAGGUGUCCUAUACAAAUAAGGGGAUUAUGAGCUAGGAAAUGUUUAACCAGCACGCCCUCCUUAUCGCAAGUAAUUCAAGGCAAUAGAAUAGAAUAUUCCAGUCGGUGGCAAGCAGCAGGUGGGAAGUCAUGGGAUCCUUACGUUAUUUCUCUAAUUGAUAAACAGAGACACUUACAAAGCCUCCUGCCGCUCUGCUUCCUGUCUUCACUCAACUUGGUCAGAAAGAUGAAUGCCGCUUUAAGAGAGAUAAUGCCAAUACAAGACCAUCUCCUCUGUUUCCAUCCUUGGAGAGCCCAAUCAAGAGAAUCAAAUUGGAUUUGUGUGAUGGAGUCCUAGAUGAAAUGAGAGGCUAUUUUCUUGCCUUCCAGUGACAAUACAAAUGAUAAGAAUACCAAUAAUAGCAUCCAGGAGCAGAAGGGGAGCAGGAUCGAGAACAGGGUGUUUCUUUGCUGUCUCCCUCCUUAUCAGUUCUUUCAUGUAUAAUUUCCUUUCAAAAUGUGAUGUCACAACAAGCCAGCAGAGUAGCCUCUGAGAUCCACAUUAGCAGACAAGGGAAGAUGCUCGGGGAAGCCGAGUGACUUACCUGAGGUCACACUCAGAUCCCUGACUCCAAAUGCCCUGUGACUUUUUCUUACCCACCUCGUCUCACAUUUGCUUCCUUUUCUCUGGGAUGAGACUCUUGGGGUGGCUGAACUCAAGACUCAGAGAUGACAGUCCCCGUACCUGCUGAGGACCUGGCUGAGACCUAGCAAGGUGCCUCUGGAGGAGCCCUGGGUGGGAUAAGGACACCAUGCUAGUCAGGGGCUCCUUGGCUCAGGAUUCUGGCUAAACACUAUCUCCACUUUGUCAUCUAAACCUUGCUCAGCUUCUCUUAAAAAGAUUUUAUCUCAGAUUACAAUGAAAGUACAAAGAACUUUUCCCCCUCUUCUGUUUUGCCUCACACUGACGGACCCUUGUUUAAAACACAAGACCACAAACUACUGUGGAAAAUCCUCCUUCGCCAUCUGUGCUAUUUAUGUCAAUCUAAAAUGCAUGUUAUCCUAAUGUGCAUAAGUAGGUAGUGGUACCUGUGAAUGCCAUUUUACAUGUAUGGGCUGCAAGAGCUGAACGAGCCAUGGGGACUUCUCCGUCUUACAAAGCUAGGGUCCAGUCACAGCAGUCCUGCCAACUUUUACAAGUCCCCUUCCUUCCAGAACCCAGUCCUAUGGAGGUAGCAUGCAUGACCCACUCUGCCCCCAGCUCUUCUGGCCCAAUCCUUGAACAGAAGAUGAACCUGCUAGGAUUCUUCCUCAUGUGUGAACUAGACUUUUGACAUUUUCCUUAAGACGACUGCAGUUUCCUCAGUCAAGAACGUGAAGAGGGAGCCCAGAGAAUAAAAGGAAAUCUUGGCCACCUGCACCUCACAUAGAGCAUUAAUCUCCAAGACACACAAAGAACUCAAAAGAGUUACCACUAAACACAAAUAAAUAAAUAGCUCAAUGAAUAAAAUGAGUCAAGGAACUAAGCAGACACUUCCUAAAAGAAGAAAUACGAUCCAUCAACCAAUAUAUGGGGAAAAAUGUUCAACUUCACUGGCAAUUAGAGAAAUGCAAACGGAAACUACACAGACACUUCAUCUCACUCUAGUCAGAAUGGCAAUUAUGAAGAAUACAAGUAACAAUAAGUGUUGGUGAGGAUGUGGGGGAAAAGGCCCACUCAUACAUUGCUGGUGGGACUGCAAAUUGGUGCAAGCACUCUGGAAAGCAGUAUGGAGAUUUCUUUAAAAACUUGGAAUGGAACCACCAUUUGACUCAGUUAUCCCACUCCUCAGUAUAUACCCAAAGGAUUAAAAUCAGCAUACUGUAGUGACUCAGCCACAUCAAUAUUCAUAGCAGGGCAAUUCACAAUAGUUAAGCUAUGGAACCAACCUUGGUGCUUUCAGCAAAUGACUGGAUAAUGAAAAUGGGGUACAUAUACACAAUGGAAUAUUACUCAGCCUUAAAGAAGAAUAAAAUUAUGGCAUUUGUUGGUAAAUGGAUGGAACUGGAGACUAUCAUGUAAAGUGAAGUAAGUAAAUCCCCCCCAAAACAAAGGCCCAAUGUUCUGUCUGAUCUGUGGAUGCUGACUCACAAUAGGUGGGGGCCAGAAGGGAGGAGUGGAGGUUCACCAAAUUGGACAGGGGUUGGGGUGGGGGGAGCGGGAGUCGGGGGGAAUGAGGAGAAUGGGAACAGGAAAGAUAGUAGAAUGGAUCAGACAUGAUUUUCUAUGUUCAUAUAUGAAUACAUGACCAGUGUAACUCCACAUCAUGUACAACCACAAAAAUGGGAAGUUACACUCCACGUACGUAUGAUAUGUCAAAACACAUUCUAAAGUCAUGUAUAAACUAAAAAGAACAAAUCAAAAAUUAAAAUAGAUGAUUUGGUUUCCUAUAGUAGCAUGAUCUCAGCUGCCCUGGAUAAAAAUUCUUCUGGAACCAUCUGUACACUCUAGGUUAAGGCAGAGCCACGUGCUCCUGAAAAGACACAUCUCCAGGGCUCCGGGCAGCACGCAGUCAGGUCACAAGUCACAUCUGCUUUGCGGGGUUUGUGUGUUUCUCCUAUGUUCUGCAGGACAGUGGUCAGGCAGGGACUCGCAGCCCCAUUCUAUGGGUGCAGACUGACUCAGGUUAGAUCACAAGUUCACGGUGGGUAAGGCUGAUGUCAUCCCCCUGCCCACGUAACACUGUCUCCUCUUUGUGACCUAACACGUCACUGUGACAUCAUCUCAGUGUCCUACGACAUCACCUCAGUGCCCUGCCCUCCGUGAUGGAAUCUUGACUUCUGCGAAGCUUUGAGGAAACCUUCUUUCCUCUACUUCUUUUUAUGACGCAUUAAAAUUUUCUGCCUCAGUUUCCCAAUCUAUUCAAAAGCAAAAAUAAUGAGGCUGAAGUACCUAUGUGUGGUUGGUUGAAAUAGUUUUGAUUCUUUUCUGAAUGGGGAUGAAUGCAAAUCACCUUGUUAUUUCACUAAUUAAUAACCUCUGCUUGGAAAUGCAACUAUUAGUGCACAAUAAACGAUAAGGCUUCUCAUCAUGGAUGACAGUAAUGGCUUCUUCUCUGCCCCUUACCUUCAUCCCCGUUCCUCUUCCUGAGCUAUAGCUAUCUCUGUGGGGGUGAGGAAAAGACAUUGCAAAGAAGCCAACAAUGGAUGCCUUUCCCAAGGGUUUGGAAAUGGAUGAAUCGUCCGGCUCCGUCUGCAGCCUUCAAGCUGUGUGGCUGACUCGCAGGCUCCUAGAAAUGCCAGCUGAGAGCAGAUCCUGUCACCUGCCCGGCCCGUGACCUGUUCCACUCCUCACCUGACCCCCUGUGCCCAACGUCACCUGGAGCCUGGAAUCUGGAAGCAGAGAGUCCUUGACUGGAGCCAGCGGAGAGAAAAUCAUCACCUGCUUGGGCACAAACAUGCCUGGUGACUGUGUCACUGUUUGUUAAGUGGGAUCAGCUAAUAGUUGCUCAGCGGCCCUUCAAAGAGCCUUCAAAGAGUUUCUGUAAACGCACUCCCCGUGCGAGGGCCUUGGACUUCAGAACCCAAGUGCGUUUGGAGCCUGAGAGCAGCCCUCCAUGCACCCUGGUUAAACUGCAGUGGAAAAGCAACAGCUUGCAUUUCCUUUGCCCUCCCUGGCUCUCUCUCCCCGGCCAGUCCCUGGCUUCCCACCUCUGCACCCUCUGCAUGGGCUGCUGCCCCUGCCUGGGGCACCCACCGCCCUGGGGGGCACCCACCGCCCUGGGGAGCAACUGCGGGCUUCCUCUGCCUUCACUUAGGGACCCGCUGCAACCCCCUCCAGAGACCUCAACGCUCCCUCCUCUCCCUGCCUCUCUUCCUCCACAGCCCCCUGGGACUAUCUGACCUACCUGUCCCCUUCCUCAGCUGUCCCCUUCCCCACCGGAACGUAAGUUCCCUGGGAAGAACUUGUUCCUCUGGAGAACGCCUUCUUGACUAAGUGAACCAACAAAUGAGUGGAGGAAUGAUUUUCCUUCAGCUUACAAAUGAAACCACUGAAGAACACAGAGGGACAGGAAGCUAGUCCAGGGCCACCGCCGUUUAGUGGCAGGGCCGGUAUUUGUGCUCUCCCUUCCUGACUCGCCUGACAUGGUUCUCCAGAAAUUCAGCAAUGGAGACAGCCCUGGGCCACUGUGGUCGCAUGUGUAUGCCAGGCUUUGGGCAGGGCAUGUCGACGUGGACGGCCAGAACUCCGUGAAGGGUAAGAGCUUAUUACCUGAGCGCUGAGCGGAUUUUUCUAAUGACUCCAGAGGUCCCAGAACAUCAGCUGUGCUACCACAUUUAAAAACCAUGUUUAAAUCUGAGUCAUUUUGAGCAUUACCGUACAAAUGUGAAUAAAGGAAAAUAAUUAUUAGAAUCCCUUACAGAACCCACUGCAGGCUUUGAGGUCUAUUGAUUCCAUUUAGUAACUGAAAGGAUGCACUGUGUAGUUUUCUAGCCUUUGUCCUUACAUAUUUUACUGUAGACAUGUCCUGAUCCACUAAAACCAACAGUUUCCGGGGCUGCUCCUAUUCCAACAUGAGUGUGUCACAAUUUGACUUCAUUGAUUUCCUAUUAUUGAUCCUGAGGACUGUUCCAGUCUCUAUUGAUUGAACUUCUAGCUUUUAGAUCUUUCAUAUUUCUGGGUUCCGUUAUUGUACUGACAUUUCCAUACUUUACCGAAACCAUGCAGAGAACAAAUUGUUGUCUAUGUUCUUACAGAAAAAAAAAGGCUGCAAAUGAGCUAAAAUCUCCUGGGAUUCAAGCGCAAACUCCUCUUGGGAUCAGGAACUGCUGCCGCUCUCCCUCAUUUGCAUUUGUGGUCUUUGAAGGGGUGGGAGGUGGGAGCCUGGGGGUGGGCAGGAAGCAUGGGCCAAGGAGAGCAAAUAGAGGCUUUGGGAGUGUGUUUACAUUUCUGUUCUAUGUGUGUGCUUCUGGCCUUCAUAGCAAGGGGAUAAAAAGCCAGGACUCUGCUCUCGUGGCGCCUGCAGACCUCUGCACUUUAACAAUCCAGGCACAAGUUGUUCUAGGCUAGUCAGCAUGACUCAGCGGGGCAGCAGGAGCUCCCUGAGGUCAGGACCUGCUCCUCGCUCCCACUAUAGUGGGAAGGCCUGCAAAGCGCUCUCAGUCUAAGAAACAACCCUGUGUUCAGAGUGUGGCUGGAUCCCGUGGCAUUUUCCGGCCACACUUCUGGUUGGGGUGAUGGCCGCUGCAUCCUAGGGUGCUGGUACUGGUAAACCCCCUCUGGACUCUGCUGUAGACUUGCAGAAGUCAUCAUCACUUCCAUUGACUGGGCACCUCCUAGGUGUCAAUAUACAAAGCUGGGUGCUUUCAAUCCUCAAAAUAAGUCCCAGUAGGCUUCAUUUUCCAAAUAAAGGCACUAAAGUGCAGAGCGGUUGAGAGAGCUGCCCAGUCACACAGAGAUAGGAUUUAACAGUGGCAUAUUUGACUUCAAAGCCUAGGCAUUAUUGUACAUCUCCGAUUUUGUGAAAUAGAGAGGACCCUCCUUCUGCUUAAUAUCCAUAAUUGUCAAGACAGUUACCGUGGACCAUAUUGCAUUAGAAUUAAUCCUUCAUCAAAGAUUCCAUUUACCAGUUGUUUAAUAAGCACUUACUUUGUGCCAUGCUCUUACGAGUUUCCACUGAGAGUUGAAUAGACCACAUUCCCUGUCCUAAAAGGGAUGAGGCAAAGAAGCAAAGGGCAGAACUGAGAAAGAUUUAAGCCUCCAUUCUUAGGAAGUGGAUUAUUAUAUCUACCAUAGGGAUUGGCUCAUCAUCAAAACUCAAUAAAUACUGGCAAAAGGAAAAAAGGAAUGAAGGAUGGGUGAAAAUUACAAAGCACAUAAAAUCUAAUCUGAAGGCAUGAAAUCUAUCCUUAUGUUUACUUCUUACUUGCUGUGCAACCUUUGAGAUCUAUGUUUAGCCUCUCUGAACCUACCCCCUUAUUAUGCAAAAGUGGGCAUAAAUGUCUUUGCCUUCUUCCACUCAUAGGAUCAUUGUUAAUCCAGUGAAUUGAAAGACCAGCGGCAGUUAUCAGAGCUAUUAAAACUGUACUCCUCCACCAGGCCUGGUGGCAGCUACCUAGAGUCAGAGCUCCUGGUUAGACUGAGGCAGGAGGGUCACAAGUUUGAGGCCAGGCUGAGCAACUAAGUGAGACACUGUCUCAAAAUAAAAAUAAAAAGGGCCGGGGUCGUAGCUCAGCUCUAGAGCCCUGGGCUGACAUUGAGCCCAGUGCUACAAAGACAAACAAAAAGUACCCAUCAGUUCUCAGAGUGUCAAGGACGAUGACAGCUGUGGGUUCCUUCCACCUGCACCUUUGCUGUGGACUACACACCAGGUGGACGAGCACUUUGCAAGGGCUGGACAUUUGUGCCUUCGUCACCAACCCCUGAUCGACGUGCCCAUUUUGUGGAUGGGGAGAGUGGCUUGGGCAGUGUGGACAGCGUGCUGGACAUGGUACAGUGCUGGGCAGGGGGAGGAGUCAGAGUCCCAGGGACCAAGGCUGGCGUCCCCACUCCUAUGGCUGCUCUGUCACUGUCCCCAGUCACUCCGCUGGAGACAUUUCUCUAGGGGCAGUAGGUAAACCCUGACUUGAUAGUCACCUUCUCACAUAGAAUCAGCCACGAAAUUCCUCAAAGAAAUAAACAUAGCUACUGAUCCAAAGGAAUUGAAACUGGCAUGUCAGAGAGACAUCCACACCCCACGUCCAUGGCAGUGCUAAUCACAGUAGCCAAAACACAGAAACAGCCCAAGUGUCCAUCAGUGGAUGAGUGGAUAAAGAAAAUGAGGUGUAUUUACCCAGCGGAAUACUAUUCAGCCAUAAAAAAUGAAAUAUUGUCCUUUGUGACAAUGAGGAUGGAAUUGGAAGGCAUUACAUUAAAUCAAACCUGCCAGGCACGGAGAGACAAAUACCACAUGACCCUUCUUCUACGAAGAAUAUCAGAGAGUCAGACUUACAGAGGAAGAUUGUGGUUCCAGGAGGCUAGAGAGACUUUGGCUAAAUAAUAGAAAAUUUCAGUGAAAUAAAUGAAAUUAUUCAAGAGCUGUAAUGUAAAACAUGAUCAUCAUCAUUAAUAAAAAUUUAUUGUUUUCUUGAAAACUGCUAAGAGAUUCUAAAUGCCCUUACCACAAAAAUAGCUGUGAGGCAAUGCAUAUGUUAAUUAACUGAAAUCAUGUAUCCG